rnacentral:rRNA from 1 species
UACGGGGGGGGCAAGCGUUGUUCGGAAUUACUGGGCGUAAAGGGCGCGUAGGCGGCCUUCUAAGUCGGACGUGAAAUCCCUCGGCUUAACCGAGGAACUGCGUCCGAUACUGAAAGGCUUGAAUCCGGGAGAGGGAUGUGGAAUUCCAGGUGUAGCGGUGAAAUGCGUAGAUAUCUGGAGGAACACCGGUGGCGAAGGCGGCAUCCUGGACACGUAUUGACGCUGAGGUGCGAAAGCGUGGGGAGCAAACAGG